rnacentral:tRNA from 1 species
GGUAAAAUGGCUGAUUUAAGGUAGUAAACUGUAAAUUUACUCAUGGGAUAUAUUAUCUCUUUUACCA